AUACGGAGGAUCCGAGCGUUAUCCGGAUUUAUUAGGUUUAAAGGGUGCGCAGGCGGAACUGUAAGUCACCGUUGAAAUCCUACAGCUUAACUGUAGAACUGCCGGUGAUACUGCGAUUCUUGAGUAUAGUUGAGGUAGGCGGAAUGUGUAGUGUAGCGGUGAAAUGCAUAGAUAUUACACAGAACACCGAUUGCGAAGGCAGCUUACUAAACUAUUACUGACGCUCAUGCACGAAAGCGUGGGGAGCGAACAGGAUUAGAAACCCUAGUAGUCC
rnacentral:rRNA from 1 species